CAAAAAGCCGGUGUCAUGUGAGGAAUCUGAUUGGACAAACACUAACCAAUGGCCUCGCUGCUCUCCUGAUCAACCAAUCAACUCAAAGCGCCACGAGUCGACGUAGUUCCUCGUGUAUGCACGGACGUUACUUAGUGAUGUAGCCUAUUUGACUUCUACAAAGACAACCCUGUCCCACCCCAUGGAUUGGUAAAAAUUAAUGGAUGAGUUACUGUCUAAUGACUGCAACCCCUGAGCAGCAAUACAACACAAAUGGGUCAAAGGUGGUACAAACCACUCAGCAUAUUACUCGUGGAGUAUCCACCUUCCCACGAUUUUGGAAGUUUCUGAAUUUCUGAUGGACUCCUGACUUGCCUUGAAGACUUCUUUGGUGUGGAAGGGUUCACAAAAAAGUUUUUCCAUGUUUCCUCCAGCCAGGAAGAUGGUGGUCACCACUCCCAUUAACACCCAGGAAAAGAUGAAGCUAAAUCCAACGCCACUGUGGAGAAGGACAGACAGGCCCUCAGAGGGCAGACAGAUGAUACCUGAGGUGCAGCACAGAGGGGUGAUGUGAUUGGCGGAGCAGCGAUCAGAUAAUUUUGAGAAAGAAGAUUCAGUAUUGGAGAGGGUGAUGUGCUGUCUUCGAGCAGCAAUUCUCAGCCUGUAACAGAAGAAGCGAAGGUGUUCUGGCUUGAGUGACAGGAAGUGAUUCAACCUGCCGGGUCCACAAGUCAGCCAACGUACACCCACCUGACUGCUCAGUUGCAAAGCAGCACAGAGGGAGAAGAAUGACAAGAAGCCAAAAAGGAAAGCUGACAUGGAACAUGACGAAGCACAGUUGGUUCUUAUCACAACUCCUCUGCAUUAUGUUAAGAGAAAACACUGCAAAGCCUUUUAACUUUGAGCACACAGAGUAUAAUACAUUAGGAAAAUCAACCAAACAGAAUAAUUCAUCAUAUUAGAGACAAUUCGGAGCAGCAUUGGAUAUUAACAAGGUCGUCCACAGCCCCAGGCUAUCUGGCUACAACAAACUUCCAAUUCUUAAUGUAGACAGAGCUGAACUGACACUUUACUCUACAGAACUACUGCAACCCACUGAACAUAUAGAGAAUGUGUUUGAGUAAAGCAUUAAAAAUAAUUUCAAAUAUGAUAAAGGCCAUGAAAACAUGACAUUGUAGGCCAAGUGAAUAUUAGAAAACAACCUUCGGUUCUGCCUGAAUAAUAUAGUAGUGAAUCAGAGAGGAAUUUAUAACAAGUCAUGCCUAUUGAUAGUCAAUAAAUAAACAAGUGCACACAUCUCUCUCUCUCUCUCACCAUUAUUUUUUUCUUUGCUUCGUUUUAACUUUGAUUCAUUUGCUAAUGCCAGGAUCAGACAACACAAUAUUUUUGGUCACAUUGUCAGAUAUUAGUCAUACAUUGUUGUUGUGACUUUGUCAAGAGACAUGGCAGAUGACAUGUUAGACCCCGGUCAAUUAUAGCUUGCAGUCUUUCUCAAUUUAGAUACAGAUUAGAUACUUAGAUUAGGUAAUAAGUACCAAGAAGCAGCUUCCACGUGAUAACACCAACAACAUCAUUCCUCUUUUGCUUCACCAUGUUAACAAUUGUGCACAAAAGAGCGCUGUGUUGGUCAACAUCACAGAACAUGUCAUAGAAGUUGUCAAACUAGCCGAAAGAAAGCAACAAAAAAAAAAAUAAUAAUCUGGAACGCAAGAUACAGUAUGUUGGAUGACUUGAAGCGUCCCAGAACCUGCAUCAUUUGUCUUCUGCUAUGACAUACUACUCGGGAUUAAACAAGCAGCCGUCACACCCAACACUCAGUUUUGUUUUCGACACCCUGGGCCAUUAUUGGGCUGAGAAAAUGUAGUCUGAUCUCAGCAUUUAAAGCAGCUCUAAUCAAUAUUUUCAUAUCAACAAUGUAACUACAGUAUGUGUAUUAUGAAAGGAGUUGCUAGUAGUGGUGACCCCCUGGGAAUUAACACCCAACUGUGCAGUUCUUCUCUGCGCUAGAGUUUUAUCAUCUUUCAGCUCCUUGUUUUGGUUUUACUUACUUAGCUUUUACUUAUGCAACUUAACUGUUUUAGUUCAGUCCCACUGUACACUGCCUGCCCAGCAGCAAAUAGCAGGCAGACAAAGUUAGCGACUAGCUAAUGCGCAUUGUGGAGCAUGUAGGGCCAGAUAUUUUUCUAAGGAGUUAGUGGAGAUCUGAACAGAGCUAAAAGUGUCUGUUGAUAUAUACUGCUAGAAGUGUAAAUGGGCAACUGUUUAACACAUUCACCAUAUCAAUUCUAUGCCAAUGCUGUGUUUUGCUGUGCUUGUUUUGCAACCCCAAGUGGCCAAAAGAAAUCAAAUUAAUGCAGGUUUGUAUAUAGCGGUGCAUUUGUCUGCAGAAGUUAUUUUUAUUUAAAUUGUGUUUGUUAUGUAAUCCUAGUUAGUUGUUUUUCUUUUAAUUACACUCUUUUCUGCCUGGGUUUUAUCAUUGACGUGUAAAUAAACUGUGUUGUAGAGUCCUUAAGGGUGAACAUUACAAAAUAUUUAAAAGAAAUGUUAUUCAAGUCACAUACUGCAUAAACGCAGACUUCUCUGCAAGAUAUGUGAGCUUUGAUAAAAGUUAACCACCAUAUGGGACUUGAAAUGGCUGAUGUGAAACCGCUCAUUACCCGUUUCUGCCCUCUGGACAAAAACAUGCAGUAUAGACAGAUGGCAUAUGUAGUGUUAUGUGAAUACAGAUCAUUGUAAAAACAAAGACAUACAGAUGAACAUAAUGUGCAGUGAAUUCACUGGAGCAGCAGGUAAAGCUCAAGGCACACACCAAAGUAAUUUAAAUGUUAGAAAAGUGAGCAUGGGAUGUGAGGUCGCUGGUUCAAAUCCCAGCAGCUAAAUGUGUGGGAAGCAGAAGGAGACUCGCAUUAAUUCCACACAACCUUAAAGUAGUUAUUAUUAUACUCUAUAUAUUGGAGCAUGGCGCCUUAAGCCUUGUAGCUGCUGCUUUCUGAGAAACCAGAUUCGUUUGAAACACAAGCGCGGUGUUUGAUGUUUGAUAUGAAAUGAUGCACCAUCAGGAUCUUUGUCAUUUUAAAGCUCCUGGCUCAGCGCAGCAGGCGGGUCUGUGGCACACGGGAGAAAAGAUCUGCAGGGAUUUGGCUGAGGAUGACAGGGAGAUACUACCACCUCCAAAUCUGUGUGUCUGAUCCUAUGUGUGUGUGUUUUGGGUACAGGGCCCUUUUAACAGUUUGUCAAGAUAUUUACAUGAAUGUUAAUGAGGAAAUUCAUAUGUAAAUAUUUGAAUGUUGGAAUGAGGGGUUGUGUUGUCAUAUAGGAUGCUUUCCAAGACACCACUGCUUAUAAAGUCUACUAGGGCUACAACUAACUUUCAUUAUUGAUUAAAAUGCAGAUUAUUUUCUUGAUUAAUCUUUUGGUCUUUAAAUGUCAGAAAAUAUACAAUAUACUUGCUAUACAACUACAACUAUCCUUACAAAAAAGUGACUUAUGAUUAAUGUAAGUGCUGCUGGUACAAUUUUUGAGGUAUGAUGCCUGAUGCUACAAUCAAAAGUCAAACUUCAAAAUGUCAAAUGCCAUACCUGCUACAUCACCAUAAUUUAAUGUCUAGAUAGAUAGAUAGAUACUGUAGAAUGACAGAUAUAUAGAAUUUGCAAAGUUACUGAUCAAAUGACCAAAAUAGAGCAAAAAUGAUUAGUAGAUUAAUUGAUUAGUCAAAAUGGCAAAUGUUUGCUAGUUUUAGAUCCUGAAAAGGUUUUCUUUGUCAAUAUGAUUGUAAAUUGAAUAUAUUUGGGUUUUGGACCAUUGUUUGGACAAAACAAGCAAUUCGAAUAUGUCAAUUAGAAAUAUGCAUUUGCGCUAUUUUCUGGCAUUUUAUAGACAAAACUAUUUAUGUAAACAAUUAUAUGUGGCAGAUUAAUCAUUGAUAAAAAGUCAUCUUUAAUUGCAGCCAUAUACAUAUACUGCACAACAAUGCAAAGAAUGAGUAUUGGGUUAACUGUUUUGAUGUCCAACAAAAUUAUUUUAGGAGCAUCUGAUUUGUUUUAACCUAUAAAUGUUUUGAAAUCAAACUCAACAUCUAACAAGUUACAGCCUGAUAUUCAGGUAAACUUAUCCACAACAAAAAGGAUCACAGGUUUGAUUCUGCAUCACCACACACUUGAUGUUUCCAUCAGCAGCCUGAAGCUGGACACUGGACACACCUGCUGACAAAUCUGUCUGGAUACAAGUGUCAGCUAAAUGCCUUAAAUGUAAAUUAAAAUAUCAGCUCAAUGCCUAAAAAUAUUAAUGUAAACAUGAUUAUUCUCUAAGGCGGGGCGAGUUUGGUAUUUUUUUUUUUAGAAACUGUAACUAGCAGCAUUCAAAUAAACAACUAUUAUCCACCUUAGUGUGAAAUAUAAA